AUGAACGCUGGCGGUCUGCUUAACACAUGCAAGUCGAACGAACUCUUCGGAGUGAGUGGCGGACGGGUGAGUAACGCGUGAGAAUCUGCCUGUGGGUCGGGGACAACCACUGGAAACGGUGGCUAAUACCGGAUGAGCCGAAAGGUAAAAAAUUUAUUGCCCACAGAUGAGCUCGCGUCUGAUUAGCUAGUUGGUAAGGUAAAAGCGUACCAAGGCGACGAUCAGUAGCUGGUCUGAGAGGAUGAGCAGCCACACUGGGACUGAGACACGGCCCAGACUCCUACGGGAGGCAGCAGUGGGGAAUUUUCCGCAAUGGGCGAAAGCCUGACGGAGCAAGACCGCGUGGGGGAGGAAGGUUUUUGGAUCGUAAACCCCUUUUGUCAAGGAAGAAGUUCUGACGGUACUUGACGAAUAAGCCUCGGCUAACUCCGUGCCAGCAGCCGCGGUAAUACGGAGGAGGCAAGCGUUAUCCGGAAUGAUUGGGCGUAAAGCGUCUGUAGGUGGCCAGCUAAGUCUGCUGUUAAAGAUCACAGCUCAACUGUGGGAAGGCAGUGGAAACUGGCAAGCUAGAGGCUGGUAGGGGUAAAGGGAAUUCCC
rnacentral:rRNA from 1 species